rnacentral:tRNA from 1 species
GGGGUUGCAGCUCAGUGGUAGAGCAUUUGCCUAGCAUGCAUGAGGCACUGGGUUCAAUUCUCAGCAUCACAU